AAAGAAAGGAUACAAUUGUUGAUUUAAUGUGCAGACAAUUAAUUAACACUUGAAAAACAUUAUUGAAAAGAAAAAAGAGAAUGGCAAGUAGUUUUUCUAUAUCAAGGUCUGGUUUCAUUGCAGUAGUUAUAAUUGCAAUGUUUAUUUCAAAUCCAUGCACAGCAGCAGGAUUAAUCAAUCAUAGAGAACUGUAUCAAAAGCCAAAGUGUCCACCAUGCCUAUGUUGCCAAUCAACAGCACCUCCGCCACCAUGUUGCUAUUGUGCCUGUUACGUUACUCAAUCUCAUAAUAAUAAUCCAUAGCUCUUAUUCUGAUUGGAGAAUAAAUUUCCAAUUGAAUAUAUUGGAAUGUAGGUCAGUAUAUUAUGUGGGGAAAAAAUUGACAGUAUGUCAAGAACAUGCAAAGCUUAUUAUUAUAUAUGGAGUUGAUAAUUUAUCAUUAAUGUAUUUCUCUGUCUUGUUGUUGUUUUUUUUUUUUUUUUUUCAUAAUUGAUGUUUUAGAUUCCCACUACGUGACAAUAUAUGGAUAUGUUGUUGUUGUAGUAUUGAUGUUUUAGAUCCUAUAUCCUCUACCAAAAAAAUAAAAAAGCUCUUAUAUCCUGCACACUCUAAAAGGCAUUACAAACGUUGACUAUUUUUUAAUUACAAGACUAAAAAUGUGGCUAUCUCUGAAUUUUAUUAUCCAAUGCAAAUUCGAUGAAUAUCUACCGGUUAUUCCAUUUUAGAAUAACAGUUUAAUAAAUUAUGUUUUUAAAAAUUUGCAAUUUAUGGACCUUUAGACCACGCCAUCACAAGCUAAAAAAUAAAGAUUUUUUUUUGAGCUAACCAAAAAUCUUUUAAGAAAGGAUUAUACCACAAUCUAAAAUUUAUAUGGUUAUUGCAAACUCAGAUGAUUGUUUGAUAUUCCAUCUGUAGGUCGAAUAAUGUAUGAAUACACAUUAGACCUAAAUCUAACACCAUCCAAAACGAUAAUUUUUUAUAAAUUAUAUUUACACAUUUUUUAAAUAGUGAUAUUAAAUUUAAAUUGUGGCCGAUCCCAACGUGGCAAAGCAAGCCCACAAGUCCAAUAGAAACUGCAAGGCUAGUUUAAGGCUAGUCUAAUAAGUAGCAAAGUCUAAUCCAAACUAUUUCUCAUCUUUUAAUCUAAGCUUCAACGACUUUUUAAGGGUAGACUAAUUCAAGAAUUUUAAUUUACUUAUUAGAAUAAUUCCAACUGGUUGAAUUAAAACCUCCAUUGUGUACAUUAAAAAGUGGUAUAUUUGCCUUGUUCUAUCAAGCAACAUAUUAUAAAUAUAUGACAUAUUGCAUCAUCAAGCUCUAUAUAUAACUACUAUAUUAAAGUAGUGUAUGCUUAAUAUUAACAACAUUAUCACAGCUUUAUAUCAAAUUAUCCUAUAGUCCAAGGCAAUGGCGAUGAAUUCUCAGAACACUCUUCUGGCUACAAUCAUCAUCUUUAUGCUUGUUUUAUCGCCGAUUGUGCCCAGCAACGCCAACGGACUGACUCGUCGAGAACUUGGGUUUAAGGAACCAAAAUGUGAGAAUUGCCAUUGUUGCCAACCAAAUACGCCACCCUGUUGCAUGUGUGCUUGUGCUGUCCCGUUUACGGCCUCCGUGGAGCUGCCGUGACCGUGACCGUGGAAUUAAGCAAAGUGAUGACAAGAGAUCGAUCGAUGUACGUACGUGAUGAUUUCAACAUAAUAAGAUUAAUGAAAUAAGAAAAUAAUUUGCUUCUGCAAUUUAUGUUUUUAAUUUGGCAAUUGUACUUUGGGACGGUGAUUUGGAUUUUAUUUGUGUGAAUAUAUUGCUUCUCUUCUGUUUGGGAA